ACUCCUACGGGAGGCAGCAGUAAGGAAUAUUGGUCAAUGGGGGCGAACCCUGAACCAGCCAUUCCGCGUGUGUGAAGAAUGCCCUAUGGGUUGUAAAGCACUUUUAUCAAGGAAGAAAUGCGAAUAAUAAUAUUCGAGUUGACGGUACUUGAGGAAUAAGCACCGGCUAACUCCGUGCCAGCAGCCGCGGUAAUACGGAGGGUGCAAGCGUUAUCCGGAAUCACUGGGUUUAAAGGGUACGCAGGCGGCUAGAUAAGUCUGACGUGAAAGCUUGUGGCUUAACCAUGAAAAUUGCGUUGGAAACUGUUUGGCUAGAAUACAGUCGAAGUGGAUGGAAUGCGUCAUGUAGCGGUGAAAAUGCAUAGAUAUGACGUAGAACACCGAGAGCGAAGGCAGUUCACUAGGCUGAUAUUGACGCUGAGGUACG
rnacentral:rRNA from 1 species